rnacentral:rRNA from 1 species
UACGUAGGGGGCGAGCGUUGUCCGAAUUCACUGGGCGUAAAGCGCGCGUAGGCGGGCUUUUAAGUUGUGGGUGAAAUCCCGAGGCUCAACCUCGGAGCUGCCUGCAAAACUGGAAGCCUUGAGGUUUGGAGAGGGAAGUGGAAUUCCAGGUGUAGCGGUGAAAUGCGUAGAUAUCUGGAGGAACACCCGUGGCGAAGGCGGCUUCCUGGCCAUAUCCUGACGCUGAGGUGCGAAAGCUAGGGGAGCGAACGGG